GCCCAGUUUAACCAUUCCAGGAGAGUAUAAAUGUCAGCUGCUCUAGUCUUGGCUGCGUUACCACCGACCAGUCCUCAGCCGGCAACAUGAAGCUGGGUGGCCUCUGCCUCCUGCUCCUCCUCGCCGUCCUUCUCACCCUCAAUGCAGAGUUCCAAGCAGUUGAUGUAGGUAUCUGUGUGACGGAGUGCCGUGUAGACCAGGACUGUGGGGAAGGAAGACUAUGCAUCAGUAAUGGGUGUGGCCGUGUCUGCUUCCCAGGGCGAAGAGAGGCCUGCGAGCACCAGUGCAGAGAAGACAGGGACUGUGGGAGUGGACAUCAGUGCGUGAGGAAGGGCUGUGGGCACGUCUGCGCCCCCGUCCAUCAAGUCGAUGUAGGUAUCUGUGUGACGGAGUGCCGUGUAGACCAGGACUGUGGGGAAGGAAGACUAUGCAUCAGUAAUGGGUGUGGCCGUGUCUGCUUCCCAGGGCGAAGAGAGGGCUGCGAGCACCAGUGCAGAGAAGACAGGGACUGUGGGAGUGGACAUCAGUGCGUGAGGAAGGGCUGUGGGCACGUCUGCGCCCCCGUCCAUCAAGUCGGUAUCUGUGUGACGGAGUGCAACGUAGACCAGGACUGUGGGGAAGGAAGACAAUGCACCAGCAAUGGAUGUGGCCGGGUCUGCUCCCCAGUCCGGCGAGAAGAUGUAGGUAUCUGUGUGACGGAGUGCAAGGUAGACCAGGACUGUGGGGAAGGAAGACGAUGCACCAGCAAUGGGUGUGGCCGUGUCUGCUCCCCAGUCCAGCAAAAAGAGGCCUGCGAGCACCAGUGCAGAGAAGACAGGGACUGUGGGAGUGGACAUCAGUGCGUGAGGAAGGGCUGUGGGCACGUCUGCGCCCCCGUCCAUCAAGUCGAUGUAGGUAUCUGUGUGACGGAGUGCCGUGUAGACCAGGACUGUGGGGAAGGAAGACAAUGCACCAGCAAUGGAUGUGGCCGUGUCUGCUCCCCAGCCCAGCAAAGAGAGGCCUGCGAGCACCAAUGCAGAGAAGACAAGGACUGUGGGAGUGGACAUCAGUGCGUGAGGAAGGGCUGUGGGCACGUCUGCUCCCCCAUCCCUCAAGUAGGUAUCUGUGUGACGGAGUGCAAUGUAGACCAGGACUGUGGGGCAGGAAGACGAUGCACCAGCAAUGGAUGUGGCCGGGUCUGCUCCCCACCCCAGGGAGGAGGACUCUGUGUGGACCGCUGCCGAGGAAACUGGGACUGUGGGGCCGGAGAAGAAUGUAUCAGGAAGGGAUGUGGACGGGUCUGCUCUCCAGCCCAGGAGCCAGUGGUAGGUAUCUGUGUGGAUCAGUGCCAAAGACACUGGGAAUGUGGUCCACGGAUGCGGUGUGUCUCCACUGGAUGUGGCCACAUCUGCUCACCAGCCCAAGACCAAGGUAAGAGGUGCAAGCCUUGCCUUCCAAGCCCCUGACUGACUGAAUGCUUGGCUCUG
rnacentral:lncRNA from 1 species